rnacentral:rRNA from 1 species
UUAUACAUGCAAGUCGUACGAGGGCUUUUAGCCUUAGUGGCGGACGGGUGAGUAACACGUGAGAAUCUGCCCUCAGGAGGAGGAUAACAGCUGGAAACGGUUGCUAAUACUCCAUAUGCCGAGAGGUGAAAGGAUUUAUCCACCUAAGGAGGAGCUCGCGUCUGAUUAGCUAGUUGGUAGGGUAAUGGCCUACCAAGGCGACGAUCAGUAGCUGGUUUGAGAGGAUGAUCAGCCACACUGGGACUGAGACACGGCCCAGACUCCUACGGGAGGCAGCAGUAGGGAAUUUUCCGCAAUGGGCGAAAGCCUGACGGAGCAAUACCGCGUGAGGGAUGACGGCCUGUGGGUUGUAAACCUCUUUUCUCAAGGAAGAAGUUCUGACGGUACUUGAGGAAUAAGCAUCGGCUAACUCUGUGCCAGCAGCCGCGGUAAUACAGAGGAUGCAAGCGUUAUCCGGAAUCACUGGGCAUAAAGCGUCUGUAGGUGGUUUGGUAAGUCUGCUGUUAAAGACUGGGGCUCAACCCCAGAAAAGCAGUGGAAACUGCCAGACUUGAGUGUGGUAGAGGUAGAGGGAAUUCCUAGUGUAGCGGUGAAAUGCGUAGAUAUUAGGAAGAACACCAAUGGCGAAGGCACUCUACUGGACCAUAACUGACACUGAGAGACGACAGCUAGGGGAGCAAAUGGGAUUAGAUACCCCAGUAGUCCUAGCCGUAAACGAUGGAUACUAGAUGUUGCACGUAUUAACCCGUGCAGUAUCGUAGCUAAGGCGUUAAGUAUCCCGCCUGGGAAGUACGCUCGCAAGAGUGAAACUCANAGGAAUUGACGGGGGCCCGCACAAGCGGUGGAGUAUGUGGUUUAAUUCGAUGCAACGCGAAGAACCUUACCAGGGCUUGACAUGUCACAAAUCUUUCUGAAAGGAAAGAGUGCCU